rnacentral:rRNA from 1 species
UCCUACGGGAGGCAGCAGCGGGGAAUCUUAGACAAUGGGCGCAAGCCUGAUCUAGCCAUGCCGCGUGUGUGAUGAAGGCCCUAGGGUCGUAAAGCACUUUCGCCAGGGAUGAUAAUGACAGUACCUGGUAAAGAAACCCCGGCUAACUCCGUGCCAGCAGCCGCGGUAAUACGGAGGGGGUUAGCGUUGUUCGGAAUUACUGGGCGUAAAGCGUACGUAGGCGGAUCAGAAAGUUGGGGGUGAAAUCCCAGGGCUCAACCCUGGAACUGCCUCCAAAACUCCUGGUCUUGAGUUCGAGAGAGGUGAGUGGAAUUCCAAGUGUAGAGGUGAAAUUCGUAGAUAUUUGGAGGAACACCAGUGGCGAAGGCGGCUCACUGGCUCGAUACUGACGCUGAGGUACGAAAGUGUGGGGAGCAAACAGGAUUAGAUACCCUGGUAGUCCACACCGUAAACGAUGAAUGCCAGUCGUCGGGCAGUAUACUGUUCGGUGAUACACCUAACGGAUUAAGCAUUCCGCCUGGGGAGUACGGUCGCAAGAUUAAAACUCAAAUGAAUUGACGG